rnacentral:rRNA from 1 species
CCUACGGGAGGCAGCAGUGGGGGAUAUUGGACAAUGGGGGGAACCCUGAUCCAGCGACGCCGCGUGAGUGAAGAAGUAUUUCGGUAUGUAAAGCUCUGUCAGCAGGGAAGAAAGAAAUGACGGUACCGGACCAAGAAGCCCCGGCUAACUACGGGCCAGCAGCCGCGGUAAUACGUAGGGGGCAAGCGUUAGCGGGAAUUACUGGGUGUAAAGGGAGCGUAGACGGUUACUUAAGGCUGGAGUGAAAGGCCGGGGCCCACCCCCGGGACUGCUCUGGAAACUAUUCAACUUGAGUGCAGGUGAGGUAAGCGGAAUUCCUAGUGUAGCGGUGAAAUGCGUAGAUAUUAGGCGGCACCCCAGUGGCGAAGGCGGCUUACUGGACUGUAACUGACGUUGAGGCUCGAAAGCGUGGGGAGCAAACAGGAUUAGAUACCCGAGUAGUC